GGAUGAGAACUCUCGAAAUCAGUAAACUCUCUUAAUGAUCGACAUAGCUUAUUGCCGCAUUGAUGUCCAAAACCCUCUUGAGAGAGAAACAGAGAGAGAAAGGUCAUCUUGAGGUGUGAGCGACUUGUGGGUCUUUCUCUCGAAUGGAUCGGUUCGUCAGUGCCCAGGCUCCUUGUCUCUCGGUAGGAGGGCCUCCCUCUCAAGUGGGCUUCUAGUUUCCGGCAAACUAAUUGCUCAGAAGGCGGUGGUAAGUUUUUGAAGCUAGCGGGAGUGACUGGAAGUGCUACUGCUCUUAGCAAAGUCUUGGAAUCAAUGGACCAAUCCACAUAGCAAUGGUAUCGGCCUUAAGAUACCUUUGAGCCUUGGCAUUCUCAUGUACACAUUAGCGGCUUUUCUUAUUGAUGCAAUCACAACAGGAUUGUUAUUGAAAACAAGCAGUGGAUUGAUCACGAGAAGCAUGGCUAUACUUCAGCUGAGAAUCAUGGCGCCUUGUGUAACACUGGCGUGCUUGAUGGGAAUCGGCUGUGGAAGUUUUGACCGAGCUUUCACGUCCAGUUUGUAGCCAAACUUUGGAAUGGGUUUCGUGUGCAGUGUCUCGGGAAGAUACGGGAUUGCAUCCUUGAGUCCUGCUCUAUCAAGCAUAUCGAUCAUUCUCGCUGCUGCAAUUCAUUGCAAGCUUUGCAAUCCUCAUUGCCUUGAGCUUUAAAGUCGAUUCAUACAAAGUGGUGCUUGACAGGAGGUGUUUUGCUCGUUUUGGCCUCGACAGUGGGAGCUUUGGCUCAAUGGCUUUUGCAGAUCUUUGCUCAAGAUGAUCGAGGCAUCAAGCUUUGCAUGCUUUUAAUGACCGGUCUCGCGAUCCCUCUCGCUAAGCCGAUCGUCCGAGCUCUCGUCCAGUGCUACACAUUUGGCGACUCCGCCGCUCAAGCCGUAUCAUUGCUCGUCAAGCACUAUGCGAUGGCCUCUACUUGCGACCUCCUUGAACGUAUUUUCUACGCUCUUGGCGAUCUCGAUUUUACGUGAGCUUGGCUGCCAUCUAACGCUCUCUUGGACUGGCUGCUCGUUGGAAAACUUUGUGGAAACUCUCUCUCUCUCUCUCUCUCUCUCUCUCUCUCGUGCUCCAGGUAAUGGCCACUUCAAUGGCACCGCUACGUAGAUGGGCCUGACAACCAAAGCUUUUGGAGAAGCUCACAACACCGGCUCGCUCUCUCUCUCUCUCUCUCUCUCUCUCUCUCUCUCUCUCUCGUGCUCCAGGUAAUGGCCACUUCAAUGGCACCGCUACGUAAAAUUCUAGAUGGGCCUGACAACCAAAGCUUUUGGAGAAGCUCACAACACCGGCUCCUCAGAUGAUCAAACUUCCGGUUGCUUCCUUUUGUUGCAGCUUUUAGACGACGGUGCAACCUUCUCAGGCAUCCCAAAAUUUAGCGCAUGACUGUUGCGGAGUUUUUGAAACGGAGUGGAGGCUCCACGCUUGUUGAUGUAAGCUGGUGCCCCAGAAGGAGGCUUUCUUCAAGACUGUCGGAAAUAUGUAUCAACACAGCUGUCCGAGGAACUUAGCUGGAUCAAGGUUGAAAAGGAGUUGCUUCAUCUGCGAGAGAUCCAAGCAGGAGGUAAAUCGAAGCUGGUUAAGGCAGACUUUCCUUUUGUGAUUCAGUUUAAAACACUUGACUUGAGAGCAGGACUGACUUGAAAGAUGGCUUACCAGCCGGGACCUGCAAAUACAUGCUGCGCAGGUGCAAACUUUGUCAUCGAGCAGGCAAUGAAAUGACAAGCUUCACAAGCAUGACGGUGGUCUCCUCAUUUCGUGAGUGCAAAUGCUUUUCUUUUUGUUGUUCUCCCCACACAAGGCCCGAUUUCAAGCUAAAAUCCCAAUUGCGAGCAAGCAAUUCUAAUCUUAGCCUUGAUCGUGUCA